rnacentral:rRNA from 1 species
CCUACGGGAGGCAGCAGUGAGGAAUAUUGGUCAAUGGACGAGAGUCUGAACCAGCCAAGUGGCGUGAAGGAUGACUGCCCUAUGGGUUGUAAACUUCUUUUAUAAAGGAAUAAAACGAGGCACGUGUGCCUUUUUGCAUGUACUUUAUGAAUAAGGAUCGGCUAACUCCGUGCCAGCAGCCGCGGUAAUACGGAGGAUUCGAGCGUUAUCCGGAUUUAUUGGGUUUAAAGGGAGCGUAGAUGGGUUGUUAAGUCAGUUGUGAAAGUUUGCGGCUCAACCGUAAAAUUGCAAUUGAUACUGGCAGUCUUGAGUACAGUUGAGGUAGGCGGAAUGCAUGGUGUAGCGGUGAAAUGCUUAGAUAUCACGAAGAACCCCGAUUGCGAAGGCAGCUUACUAAACUGUGACUGACAUUGAUGCUCGAAAGUGUGGGGAUCAAACAGGAUUAGAUACCCCUGUAGUC